UACGGAGGGGGCAAGCGUUGUUCGGAAUUACUGGGCGUAAAGGGCUCGUAGGCGGCCAACUAAGUCAGACGUGAAAUCCCCAGGCUUAACCUGGGAACUGCGUCUGAUACUGGAUGGCUUGAAUCCGGGAGAGGGAUGCAGAAUUCCAGGUGUAGCGGUGAAAUGCGUAGAUAUCUGGAGGAAUACCGGUGGCGAAGGCGGCAUCCUGGACCGGCAUUGACGCUGAGGAGCGAAAGCUAGGGGAGCAAACGGG
rnacentral:rRNA from 1 species